GAUCAAUACAUCGGGAUAAUUUAAAAACUAUCUUUGGAUGUUUGAAUUUUUCAUGUUAAGAAACUAUAAGUGUAGGAUAUAUACCGAUUACGUAACGCGACCGACGAUGCACUAAAUUUCCUAAUUCUUCUUACAUUCUUACAUACUAGCAGUAAGAACAAUAGUUGAGAUUAUAAGAAAAGUUUCUGGAGUAAAAAAUUAUAUGAAAAAGUUUUGUCUAUUUUUAAAAAUAUGAAAGAAUAUAAUGAAUUUAUUAAAAAGAAAACUUUAACUUUUCCAUUAAUAUUAAUAAUUUUUUUCCAUCUUUUUUCUAUGAAAGCUUCAGAAUUCUUUUCCGAUAAAACGAUUCGUCCUUGGUAGCUAAAAACUGAUUCGACAUACAUAGAUAGAACUUAGAUCCAAUAGAACGAUAACUUUUCUAUUACAAUUCCUAAGAUAUCUCGAUCUAUUAAAUGUUAUCUUAUCAAAAUGAAAUAAUCACGAAACUCGUACUUAGAUGAUAUCAUUAAAGAUCGAAACAUCGACAGAUAUGACGGAUGAUAAUGCAAAGUGGGUCAGAAAUUAAAGGAUUGGGGAAGCAUUGAAGAAUAAGAACGUUUUUGAUAUUUUUCUAUACGAGCAUUUACGCAACAUCUUUCACGUAGGUUGAUCCUGUUUGAUUUCAUAACAGCAUAUCCACGGGUCCUUGCCCCGAUUACCUACGGAACUACGAUCAUUUGGCAUAGAUUCGUAAACGUGCGCCGAAGCAUGCAUUGAUUUUCUCAUCGUGGUGCCGUCGAGGCGCUGCUUACGUCGAUUUUUGCGUACGGUGACGUCGAAGAUCGAUAUACAGAGAGAUAGAAAGGGUAAGAGAGAAAGAGAGUAAGAAAGAAAGAAAGAAAAAAAGAAAGAAAGAAAGAAAGAAAGAAAGAAAGAAAGAAGGAAAGAAAGAUAACUAAGCAUAUCGGCUAAGUUUUAUCGGUUAAGGAAGUGACUAUGAAAAGUAUAGAAAGCUGAGUAUGCGCAAGAAGUAGGGAAAUUCGGUAAAGUUCAUUGAGUAUGACGAUGGUUAUAAGGGUGAAGGUUGAUUUUAAAAAGCAGAGAGCGAGAGAGAGAGAGAGAGAGAGAUGUAUAGCUGUAUAUAAAGGAAGAGUGGUGGUUGCAUGCUGCUGAACGAGCCGCCUAGUCUGCAACCCUCACUACUUGGCAGCUCGUUUUUCACACCGCCCGCACGCACCGGAAGGUGGUGGCCCACUGUUUUCGAGGACCGUUUAUUGAUCGCAUCAGCGCCUGCGUUUCUUCGUUGCUCCACUACCUUCGAAAAUUUCACCUCCUCCCGCACGUUUUCGUAUAGCCACCGAGGCUGCUUGUCGAACCAGAUUCACUUCCGGUUUUCCUUUCGGG